GUUUGGGGCUAAUAUCCACUUAUCAGUGAAUACAUAUUGUGUGAGUUUCUUUGUGUCAUUCCUCAGUGUUAUGAUGCAUAUACACAUGUGUAGGAACUGCUUCCCCUGUCCCAUUACAGUACAAACACAUGGGGGCAUAGGCUUUGUUUUUUGUUCUUAAAAUUCAUGGACGUUUUAGUGGUUAAUUAAGAGCAAUCUGAAAACAACAGCAGCAACGAUAACGAACUCCUGACAACUCAGAACCACUUGAAACCUGUUACCAGGGCUGGCUGGCUGGCUUGGAGGUUAAGAGAAUUUGCUGGUUUUUCUGGAGGAAGUGAGUUGGCGUCCCAGCACCCAUGUCAAGUGAUUCACAACCUCCUGUGUCCCCAGCUAUAGAGGAGCUGACAGCCAUUAAAGUUACCCAGACAAAGAGCACCUACUGAGGAAUUUCCUAUGAACCACUGUUUGAACUUGUCCCCCAGGAUAUGAAGCCAGAGGUGCAACUAGUCAGAAAAGGCAGAGGCUGAGCUUAGGAAAGCUUCAAGUGAUACAGAUUGUGGGUCUGUGUGUUUUGUUUGUCUACAACAAGAGGAUAGGAGCAAACUAAGUGAAGCAGAAAGAAUGGCAGCUGAAGUGGGGGAAGUCAACUAUCCCACCUGUACUGGCUGGUUUUGUGUUAUCAACUUGACACAAGCUGGAGUUAUCACAGAGAAAGGAGCCUCCCUUGAGGAAAUGCCUCCAUGAGAUCCAGCUGUAAGGCAUUUUUUUUCAGUUAGUGAUCAAGGGGGGAGGGCCCAGCCCACUGUGGGUGGUGCCAUUCCUGGGCUGGUAGUCUUGGGUUCUAUAAGAAAUCAAGCUGAGCAAACCAGGGGGAACAAGCCAGUAAGGAACAUCCCUCCAUGGCCUCUGCAUCAGCUUCUGCUUCCUGACCUGCUUGAGUUCCAGUCCUGACUUCUUUUGGUGAUGAACAGCAAUGUGGAAGUGUAAGCUGAAUAAACCCUUUCCUUCCCAACUUGCUUCUUGGUCAUGAUGUUUGUGCAGGAAUCCAUGACUAAGACAAUACCUGAGGGACAGCUUUCCUCUGGAAGACUGGGGUUUCCAUGGCAACUGUAUCCUUCUAUCUUUAUCUGGAUGACAAGAGUCCUUGAUGUUAUGUACCUAGUCUCUUUUGGGCACCCAUCGUAGUCCAUCCCAUCCAGCCACCAAUACAGCCCUCUUGAGUUUCAUACUUUGGGACUUUGGACAUGAUUCUUAUGUUUCUGUACAUUAAUACAUUUUAUGUCUCUAUAUUAACAUCUCCUGAGCUCUUACUAUGUGUCAAG
rnacentral:lncRNA from 1 species